GCCCAGGUGGCGAAAUAGGUAGACGCAAGGGACUCAAAAUCCCUCGCCAGCGAUGGCGUGCCGGUUCGAGUCCGGCUCUGGGCACCA
rnacentral:tRNA from 2 species